UACAGAGGUCUCAAGCGUUGUUCGGAUUCAUUGGCGUAAAGGGUGUGUAGGUGGCGCGCUAAGUCGGGUGUGAAAUUUCGGAGCUUAACUCCGAAACUGCAUUCGAUACUGGCGUGCUUGAGGACUGGAGAGGAGACUGGAAUUCAUGGUGUAGCAGUGAAAUGCGUAGAGAUCAUGAGGAAGACCAGUGGCGAAGGCGGGUCUCUGGACAGUUCCUGACACUGAGACAGAAGGCCAGGGGAGCAAACAGG
rnacentral:rRNA from 1 species